rnacentral:tRNA from 1 species
AAUAAAAUGGCUGAGGGUAGGCGAUAAAUUGUAAAUUUAUUUACGAAAAUUAUUUUCUUUUAUUA